ACUCUGGUAGUUUAAUUAAAAUUUUGAUUUGUGGUGUCAAAGAUGCGGUUAAAAUUUCGCCCUGAGUC
rnacentral:tRNA from 1 species